rnacentral:rRNA from 1 species
GGAGUUUGGUCCGUGUCUCAGUACCAAUGUGGGGGACCUUCCUCUCAGAACCCCUACUGAUCGUCGCUUUGGUGGGCCGUUACCCCGCCAACUGGCUAAUCAGACGCGGAUCCAUCUCACACCGAUAAAUCUUUUACCCCUGCACCAUGCGGUGCUGUGGUCUUAUGCGGUAUUACCAGCCGUUUCCAGCUGCUAUCCCCCAGUGUGAGGCAGGUUAUCCACGCGUUACUCACCCGUCCGCCACUAAGUUAAGUUCCAUUCGAAAAUUUCCCUUAACCCCGUUCGACUUGCAUGUGUUAGGCACGCCGCCAGCGUUCAUC